rnacentral:hammerhead_ribozyme from 1 species
AUCCAGCUGAUGUAUCUUAAAUAGGAUGAAAUGUAAGUCCUGGAU